UUUUAUGGAGAGUUUGAUCCUGGCUCAGAGUGAACGCUGGCGGCGUGCCUAAUACAUGCAAGUCGAACGAUGAAGCUUCUAGCUUGCUAGAAUGCUGAUUAGUGGCGCACGGGUGAGUAACGCAUAGGUCAUGUGCCUCUUAGUUUGGGAUAGCCAUUGGAAACGAUGAUUAAUACCAGAUACUCCCUACGGGGGAAAGAUUUAUCGCUAAGAGAUCAGCCUAUGUCCUAUCAGCUUGUUGGUAAGGUAAUGGCUUACCAAGGCUAUGACGGGUAUCCGGCCUGAGAGGGUGAACGGACACACUGGAACUGAGACACGGUCCAGACUCCUACGGGAGGCAGCAGUAGGGAAUAUUGCUCAAUGGGGGAAACCCUGAAGCAGCAACGCCGCGUGGAGGAUGAAGGUUUUAGGAUUGUAAACUCCUUUUGUUAGAGAAGAUAAUGACGGUAUCUAACGAAUAAGCACCGGCUAACUCCGUGCCAGCAGCCGCGGUAAUACGGAGGGUGCAAGCGUUACUCGGAAUCACUGGGCGUAAAGAGCGCGUAGGCGGGAUAGUCAGUCAGGUGUGAAAUCCUAUGGCUUAACCAUAGAACUGCAUUUGAAACUACUAUUCUAGAGUGUGGGAGAGGUAGGUGGAAUUCUUGGUGUAGGGGUAAAAUCCGUAGAGAUCAAGAGGAAUACUCAUUGCGAAGGCGACCUGCUGGAACAUUACUGACGCUGAUUGCGCGAAAGCGUGGGGAGCAAACAGGAUUAGAUACCCUGGUAGUCCACGCCCUAAACGAUGGAUGCUAGUUGUUGGAGGGCUUAGUCUCUCCAGUAAUGCAGCUAACGCAUUAAGCAUCCCGCCUGGGGAGUACGGUCGCAAGAUUAAAACUCAAAGGAAUAGACGGGGACCCGCACAAGCGGUGGAGCAUGUGGUUUAAUUCGAAGAUACACGAAGAACCUUACCUAGGCUUGACAUUGAGAGAAUCCGCUAGAAAUAGUGGAGUGUCUAGCUUGCUAGACCUUGAAAACAGGUGCUGCACGGCUGUCGUCAGCUCGUGUCGUGAGAUGUUGGGUUAAGUCCCGCAACGAGCGCAACCCCCUUUCUUAGUUGCUAACAGGUUAUGCUGAGAACUCUAAGGAUACUGCCUCCGUAAGGAGGAGGAAGGUGGGGACGACGUCAAGUCAUCAUGGCCCUUACGCCUAGGGCUACACACGUGCUACAAUGGGGUGCACAAAGAGAAGCAAUACUGCGAAGUGGAGCCAAUCUUCAAAACGCCUCUCAGUUCGGAUUGUAGGCUGCAACUCGCCUGCAUGAAGCUGGAAUCGCUAGUAAUCGCAAAUCAGCCAUGUUGCGGUGAAUACGUUCCCGGGUCUUGUACUCACCGCCCGUCACACCAUGGGAGUUGUGUUUGCCUUAAGUCAGGAUGCUAAAUUAGCUACUGCCCACGGCACACACAGCGACUGGGGUGAAGUCGUAACAAGGUAACCGUAGGUGAACCUGCGGUUGGAUCACCUCCUUUCUAGA
rnacentral:rRNA from 1 species